rnacentral:rRNA from 1 species
CAGUCGCCGCGGGAAUACGUAGGUGGCAAGCGUUGUCCGGAAUUAUUGGGCGUAAAGGGCUCGCAGGCGGUUUCUUAAGUCUGAUGUGAAAGCCCCCGGCUCGACCGGGGAGGGUCAUUGGAAACUGGGAAACUUGAGUGCAGAAGGGGAGAGUGGAAUUCCACGUGUAGCGGUGAAAUGCGUUGAGAUCGGAAAGAACACCAACGGCGAAAGCACUCUGCUGGGCCGACACUGACACUGAGAGACGAAAGCUAGGGGAGCAAAUGGGAUUAGAUACCCCCGUAGUCCCUGUCUCUUAUAC